GAUUAACGCUGGCGGCGUGCAUAACACAUGCAAGUCGAACGAAGUGGCGGACGGGUGAGUAACGCGUGAGUAACCUGCCUUAGAGAAGGGGAUAGCCUUUGGAAACGAAGAAUAAUACCCAAUGCUCUAAGAUGGCCUUGCGUCUGAUUAGUUAGUUGGUGGGGUAACGGCCCACCAAGACAGCGAUCAGUAGCCGGCGCGGGGAAGUGUACCGGCCCACUAGGACUGGGACACGGCCCGAACUCUACGGAAGGCAGCAGUGCUGAAUUAUGCACAAUGGGGGAAACCCUGAUGCAGCGACGCCGUGUGAUUUAGAAGGCCGUCGGGUUGUCAAAAGCUUUUCUAUGGGAAGCAGUACCAUAUGAAUAAGGACCGGCUAAUUACGUGCCAGCAGCCGCGGUAAUAC
rnacentral:rRNA from 1 species